UACGGAGGGAGCGAGCGUUGUCCGAAGUUACUGGGCGUAAAGCGCGCGUAGGCGGGAAAUUAAGUGAGAAGUGAAAGGCUGGGGCUUAACCCCAUGCAGUGCUCCUCAUACUGGUUUUCUUGAGGGUGGUAGAGAGAAGUGGAAUGGCUGGUGUAGCGGUGAAAUGCGUAGAUAUCAGUCGGAACACCAGUGGCGGAGGCGGCUUCUUGGGCCAUUACUGACGGCUGAGGC
rnacentral:rRNA from 1 species